rnacentral:rRNA from 1 species
UACGGAGGGUGCAAGCGUUAUCCGGAUUCACUGGGUUUAAAGGGUGCGUAGGUGGGCUAGUAAGUCCGUGGUGAAAUCUCCAAGCUUAACUUGGAAACUGCCGUGGAUACUAUUGGUCUUGAAUAUUGUGGAGGUAAGCGGAAUAUGUCAUGUAGCGGUGAAAUGCUUAGAUAUGACAUAGAACACCGAUAGCGAAGGCAGCUUGCUACACAAUUAUUGACACUGAGGCACGAAAGCGUGGGGAUCAAACAGG